AACGAACGCUGGCGGCAUGCCUAACACAUGCAAGUCGAACGAGACCUUCGUGCUUUGUUGCGCACGGGUGCGUAACGCGUGGGAACUUACCCUUAGGUUCGGAAUAACUCCCUGAGAGGGGUGCUAAUACCGGAUAAGGUCUUAGGAGCUACGAUUUAUCGCCUUUGGAUGGGCGCGCGUUGGAUUCGCGGGUUGGUAGGGGAAAAGCCUACUAAGGCGAGGAUCCUUAGCUGGUCGGAGAGCAUGAUCAGCUACACUGGGACUGAGACACGGCCCAGACUCCUACGGAAGGGAGCAGUGGGGAAUAUUGGACGAGGGGGGAAAGCGUGAUCCAGCAGUGCCGCGUGAGUGGUGAAGGCCUUAGGGUUGUAAAGCUCUUUUAGCCGGGAUGAUAAUGACAGUACCGGGAGAAUAAGCUCCGGCUAACUACGUG
rnacentral:rRNA from 1 species